rnacentral:rRNA from 1 species
UACGAAGGGGGCUAGCGUUGCUCGGAAUCACUGGGCGUAAAGGGUGCGUAGGCGGGUCUUUAAGUCAGGGGUGAAAUCCUGGAGCUCAACUCCAGAACUGCCUUUGAUACUGAAGAUCUUGAGUUCGGGAGAGGUGAGUGGAACUGCGAGUGUAGAGGUGAAAUUCGUAGAUAUUCGCAAGAACACCAGUGGCGAAGGCGGCUUACUGGUCCGGUUCUGACGCUGAGGCGCGAAAGCUAGGGGAGCGAACGGGG